rnacentral:rRNA from 1 species
UACGAAGGGGGCUAGCGUUGCUCGGAAUCACUGGGCGUAAAGGGUGCGUAGGCGGGUCUUUUAAGUCAGGGGUGAAAUCCUGGAGCUCAACUCCAGAACUGCCUUUGAUACUGAAGAUCUUGAGUUCGGGAGAGGUGAGUGGAACUGCGAGUGUAGAGGUGAAAUUCGUAGAUAUUCGCAAGAACACCAGUGGCGAAGGCGGCUUACUGGUCCGGUUCUGACGCUGAGGCGCGGAAAGCGUGGGGAGCAAACAGGG